rnacentral:tRNA from 1 species
GCGCCCAUAGCUCAAUUGGAUAGAGCGUGUGGCUUCGGACCACAAGGUUGGGGGUUCAAGUCCCUCUGGGCGCGCCA